rnacentral:rRNA from 1 species
AGGGUAGCUAGAGUUGCGGGCUUUGCCUGCCAUCUCUUACCCAUGUCUUUUGAGUACCUUCGUUUCCUCGGCGGGUUCGCCCGCCGGUUGGACAACACUUAAACCCUUUGUAAUUGAAAUCAGCGUCUGAAAAACUUUAAUAGUUACAACUUUCAACAACGGAUCUCUUGGUUCUGGCAUCGAUGAAGAACGCAGCGAAAUGCGAUAAGUAGUGUGAAUUGCAGAAUUCAGUGAAUCAUCGAAUCUUUGAACGCACAUUGCGCCCCUUGGUAUUCCAUGGGGCAUGCCUGUUCGAGCGUCAUUUGUACCUUCAAGCUCUGCUUGGUGUUGGGUGUUUGUCUCGCCUUUUGCGCGCAGACUCGCCUCAAAACGAUUGGCAGCCGGCGUAUUGAUUUCGGAGCGCAGUACAUCUCGCGCUUUGCACUCACAACGACGACGUCCAAAAAGUACAUUUUUACACUCUUGACCUCGGAUCAGGUAGGGAUACCCGCUGAACUUAAGCAUAUCAAAAGGCGGAGGAA